GACGAACGCUGGCGGCGUGCCUAAUACAUGCAAGUCGAGCGAAGUUUUUCUGGUGCUUGCACUAGAAAAACUUAGCGGCGAACGGGUGAGUAACACGUAAAGAACCUGCCUCAUAGGCUGGGACAACUAUUGGAAACGAUAGCUAAUACCGGAUAACAGUAUUUCUCGCAUGAGAGAUAUUUAAAAGUUGGUUAUGCUAACACUAUGAGAUGGCUUUGCGGUGCAUUAGCUAGUUGGUGGGGUAAAGGCCUACCAAGGCGACGAUGCAUAGCCGACCUGAGAGGGUGAUCGGCCACACUGGGACUGAGACACGGCCCAGACUCCUACGGGAGGCAGCAGUAGGGAAUCUUCCGCAAUGGGCGAAAGCCUGACGGAGCAACGCCGCGUGAGUGAAGAAGGAUUUCGGUUCGUAAAGCUCUGUUGUUAGGGAAGAAUGGAUAUGUAGUAACUAUACAUGUAAGAGACG
rnacentral:rRNA from 1 species